rnacentral:rRNA from 1 species
GUCUACGGCCACGCCACCCUGAACGUACCCAAUCUCAUCUGAUCUUGGAAGCUAAGUAAGGUCGGGCCUGGUUAGUACUUGGGUGGGAGACCAUCUAGGAAUACCAGGUGCUGUAGGCG